rnacentral:lncRNA from 1 species
CCCCGGCCUGCUCAUGGGUGAUGGGGAGUCUUUCAGGCAGCCCUGCUUUGGCAGUGGGGCCCGAAGGCCUGCAGGCUUGACACUUCCUCCCCGAACACCUGGAGCAACCUCCUGACUGUACUGUCUCUCUUACAGGUAGUGACGGUUCAGCAGCAACAGCAGAAGGACACUCCAGCUCAUUUCAUGCAGGGGAUGUGCUGGCCGUGCUCUUCGGGGUGCUCUUUGCUGUCACAGCACUGGCCUUCCUGCUGUACAUCUACAAGCACCGCAGCCAGAAUGCACGGUGAGACAUGGGGACAUGCAGAAGGGGGCCUUGGUCCAGGGCAUGAGAAGGGGGCUUAAGGGUGGUCUCAGGCAGUAAGACCUUCUGCCUGGUCUAACACUCUCCCCCUCUUUCUUACCCCACCAGGCUGGACUCACCAACCAAGUCCAAAGUCAUUUACACCGCAGCCAGCACCGAGAACACUGCGUAAACUCCACACCUCUGUGGCAGUGCCAGCUCCACCGGUUCAGCUGCCACCCCACCUCCCCUC